GGAGCUUACAAAGGAAUGAACAAGAGGAAAGAAGAUUCUGGUCUCACUUAAAAUGGACUGCAGUACCUCCUCUGCUUGAAAUUCAAAGAAGCCAAGAUGUACGGGAAAGAAGACCAGCAGGAAGAACCGUGAGAAAGGCAGUAGCAGUAGGAAAGAAAGCAAGGGAUGAUUUGAGAUUCCUUUAGAGAUCAAUUGGAAAGACUGGAAAACUGCUUUCAUAUAGAAAGUUGGAGAUUAAACAAUCAUAAGUCAGUUGAUAAGUGGGUGAUGGGAAAGGUUUGAAACUUUUAAAUGCUGGCCUCAUAAAUCAUCCUGAUACCAAAGCCAGGCAGAGACACAACCAAAAAAGAGAAUUUUAGACCAAUAUCCUUGAUGAACAUUGAUGCAAAAAUCCUCAAUAAAAUACUGGCAAACGAAUCCAGCAGUACAUCAAAAAGCUUAUCCACCAUGAUCAAGUGGGCUUCAUCCCUGGGAUGCAAGGCUGGUUCAAUAUGCGCAAAUCAAUAAAUGUAAUCCAGCAUAUAAACAGAACCAAAGACAAAAACCACAUGAUUAUCUCAAUAGAUGCAGAAAAGGCCUUCGACAAAAUUCAACAACGCUUCAUGCUAAAAACUCUCAAUAAAUUAGGUAUUGAUGGGACAUAUCUCAAAAUAAUAAGAGCUAUCUAUGACAAACCCACAGCCAAUAUCAUACUGAAUGGACAAAAACUGGAAGCAUUCCCUUUGAAAACUGGCACAAGACAGGGAUGCCUUCU
rnacentral:lncRNA from 1 species